rnacentral:rRNA from 1 species
GACGAACGCUGGCGGCGUGCCUAACACAUGCAAGUCGUACGGGACCGGGGGCAACUCCGGUUCAGUGGCAGACGGGUGCGUAACACGUGAGGAACUUGUCCGGUGGCGGGGGGAUAGCCGGCCCAACGGCCGGGUAAUACCGCAUACGCUCGUUCGGGGGCAUCCCUGGGCGAGGAAAGCAGCCGCAAGGUUGCGCCGACGGAGGGCCUCGCGACCUAUCAGCUUGUUGGCGGGGUAACGGCCCACCAAGGCUACGACGGGUAGCUGGUCUGAGAGGAUGAUCAGCCACAUUGGGACUGAGACACGGCCCAGACUCCUACGGGAGGCAGCAGUGGGGAAUAUUGCGCAAUGGCCGCAAGGCUGACGCAGCGACGCCGCGUGUGGGAUGACGGUCUUCGGAUUGUAAACCACUGUCAGGGGGAACGAAUACAGGGCUUCGAUAAGGGGACCCUGGGGUGACGGUACCUCCAAAGGAAGCACCGGCUAACUCCGUGCCAGCCGCCGCA